CUCGUUGCUACGGUUGGUGGAUCCGGGCCGCUGGGUUUUGUCAGACCUUUGUCCCAACCCAGUGGGUUUGAGCUGGACGGAGAGGACUACGGAAGUGAGAUCCAGACACCGUCGAUUCUUCAAGCCCCUUUAUCACAGCCCAUUUCAGCAAAUGUUUAUACACAUUUAUAGAAGCCUUUUUUUUUUUUUGAAGUAGAUCUACAAUGUUGUGGAUCCAUGUUGUGAGGACACUCAAGCAGCCCUGGGGAGAGGCUUGCAUGAAUAAUAACCAAGCCUCUUGCCAACAACCACCUCCAACUUGCCAGCCAUGUGUGUGAGCCAUCUUGGGAGUGUAUCCUCCAGCCUCAGUCAAACCUUCAGGUUCAGCUCCAGGGAGAAACCAGGAAUGCUGAGCAUGGUACAUCCUGAUGAAUCCAGAAUGCAGGACCAAAACGAGGGGCCGCUUUCCUCCAAAUGGUGAGGACAUCUUCUACAUGCCAGAAAGGCCAGCAAUACAUUCAUUUCAGAACCAGCAGAGCCCAAACAACAGUGGAGGCUCACCACAUUCUGGACUCUUUUUCUGGGCCUCCAGGAGCCUUCUAGCAGAUAACCAACUUUGAUAGUUCAAGGCCUGUCCUCUUGCUUUCUACAAGGUGUGAACUAAGGGCUGGAUUCCACACUUGGUGUCUAUAAACCCAUGGUACCCAGGUCCUAUUCCUGUGCUGUAGGAUCUUCCAGGAGCAGGUCUGCUACAAAGGAGGUGUGGUUCGCAUUUCAAUGCUGGGCUCAUUAGAGAGGUCAUCAAACAGAAUUUCCAUCAGAAGGUAGAUUACACGUCAACACCACAGAGGGUUUGCCCUUCCCAGGAAAAUCCAAAUGCUAUAACUUGUUCUUGAGACCCAAGGUUUCCCACAGUUUUGAAAUCUGAAAAGCUUUAUCCAGCAGACAUCCAUUAAGUGCCAACUGUAUGUCAGGGAAACACUGGAGACAAGAUCUUGGGCUCUGGUGGGAGAGACAGACAUAGACACUAACACAGUAGGAUAUUUUGAGUUCUACAAAGGAAGUGUGUGCAGAAUGACAUAAGAACCCGGGAGAAGCAGCAGACUCUGCCUUUGGCAAUCAUGGAAGGCUUCCCAGAGUAGGUGACAUUCAAUCUAUAGGAGGAGAUUACAAUUGAAGCAAAGGUCCAGGCCGGAGCUCAUACUUCCAAAUCCCCCUGAGGAGUCCAGAGUCCAGAACUUCAUCUCCCUGCUUCAGCCAUGGAAGCAGCAAAAGCUUCACACGCAACCAGCAUCUGGAUGGUACUAAUUACCUCCACGUUUAUGAAGUGCCUCAUUAAACUUGACUCAAACCAACAGCAUAGUUGGCUCCCUGGGUUAAAUCCACGCUAAAUAUUCAGUUACACACAGCACAAGCGAAUCAUAUUUGGUGGGGUUCCGUUCACUUGUCCUGUGAAGGUGGUUUUCCAGCUGAAUAAUGAUGCUGCCCUUUAAUUGCGUGCUGUCUUCCUCCUGGGGGACUUUAGGUGGGACCAUCUUCCCAGAGGGAGCCAGAAACUGGGUGUCGUCAUCUCCGUUUUAUAGUUGCAUGGACUCAGUAAAGAGAUCUGGCCCCAGCCGCAUAAACUGCAAUCUUACUCCUCCCUCGGAGCCCAGCUCAAAUUACCUCAUCUUAAAAGAUCUUUUGGUUCCCCCAUCAGAAUUUCCCUGCCAUACAUGACCCUGGAAGAAGCUGAGAGAAACGGCUGAGCGCUCACUGUGUACAGAGCUCUGUGACGGGGAGUUGACAGCAUUCACUCACUUGAUCUAACAACACUGAGGGUGUGUUCCCAUUUCACAGCUGAGGAGACUCAGGCACAGAGAAGCUGAGUAAUGGGUCUUGGAUUACACAACUAAUUAGUCAGGAUUCAAACCCAGGCCUCUAAGCCCAUUGUCUUAACCACACACAAUCCUGGCACAUUCAUUCAACAAGUAUUAAUUGAGCACCUAUGGUACACCCCGUGCUUGCCAGGAGUAUAGUACUUGCUAGGGAUGCAGUAGGGAAGGAAACAUGAUCUUUGCCCUAACAAAGAUUAUCGUCUAGCAGGGAAGACAGAUGUGAAACACUUCCACAAUCAUUUAAUUACACACCAGGCAUCAGUCAAUGUUAGCAGAAUUUAACUGAACUAGCUAAGACAUUAGCAGGGCAAGAAAAGAAAUCAGGUCUCUGGAUGGCUCUUUCUUGUCUGCAAUUCAGGAGUCAGUCAACUCUUCCUUUUUUCUUAGAUUCUGUAGCUAAGCAAUGCCUACAGAGGCCCACAAUUGCAUUGGGAGUUUCCAGAAACCACUUCCCUCUCUGAAUCACAGCUUUCCCAGCUGUAAAAUGGGGAUGAAAAUAGCAAAAGACUGGAAGUAAGCCAAAUAUCCAUCAACAGGGGGCCACUUAAAGAAGUGGUGGUACAUCUACACCCUGGAAUAUGCAGCUAUUAAAAAGCAUGAGGCAACUCUAAAUGCUGGACAAGGAUCGCUAAGACCUAGACCCCAGGGAGUCGUGUGACUUACUUUUUUUUGUCUUUUUUUUUUUUGGUCGCACCACAUGUGGGUUCUUAGUUCCCUGACCAGGGAUCGAACCCGUGGCCCCUGCAUUGGAAGCAUGGAGUCUUAACCACUGGACCACCAGGGAAGUCCAACUUACUCUUAAUGUGUGCCAUUUUGUACCUUUAGAAUUUUGCACUCUGUGCAUGUACCUUAUCAAAACAAAUUCAAGGACAUUUUAAUACAACAUUUUGAUGGGGAUAAAAAAGCAGUCAAAUAGCCAGGCUCACAUGGGCCCAUUGGUGGUAUUAUUGUUAGUUUCAAAGGAGAGGUUAGAUUUGGCAGCCCUUGGAAAAUCUAAAACAAUUAGAGCACAUGUUGCUCCUAAUGAGAUGAGGGAGGAAUAAGGGCCAAACGGAGAAGAAAGGAGGAGGAAAUGAGGAGAAAAACGAAGAGGCCAGGCAGAGGCCAACAGAGAAAAAAAUCCACAAUUACUUUAGUGCCGCCGAGACCCCAAGGCAGCUGUGCUACCUGCUUCUUUCUAGCCAGCUGCCAGGUUGCCAUGGUAAUGUAAUAGCCAGUGGUAAGCUUAUUUAUGAUUCUGAAAACAUUAAAAAAAAAAAAACCCACCAGCAAGCUGCAGAUAUGCAGCAGUGAGCAGAGAAGGUACCUGCAUGAGAGGAGGCGUCAAGGUGACCUUCCUGGAGCUUGAGGUCCCCCCUUGAAAACUGGUGGGGUCAGCCUAGAGCAGUGGGUUGCGAACCUGAGCGUGUAGCCAAAUCAUCUGGAAGGCCGGUUAAAAUGCUCCACCCAUCCCCGGAGAUUCAGAUUCAAUAGGUCUGGGCUGGGGCAUUUCGAACAAGUUCCCAGGAGGUAUGGAAACCGACGUUUGGGGACCACCACCCUAAUGAUCUCUAAAGGCCUCUCCAACUCGAGAUUCCAUGAGCUGUGGGCUCCAGCUCCCGCUCGCCCUGAAGUGGAUACUGCUUAAGUAUUUAGGGGUAAAGCACAUCCAGCCCCUCUAUCAGCUCCUCUAUUAACUAAGUAGUUACAACAUCCUGACAGAGGACCCAUGUGGGUUGUAAGGUAGCCCGAAGCACCUGGUGGGCCAAGGGCUUAGAGGGCAGUUUCCAAAGCCGAAGCCAGCACCGCAUACGAGCAAUUGCUUGGGAGGAUGGGCCAGCACUCCAGCUGUCUUUGCCAGAACUCUCUCAUGGGGCCAGUUAACUGGGUGUGAUGGCCAGCAGGUGCCACUGAGCCAGAGGAAAGGCGUCUGUCAGUCAGGACUGUGGCUGAGCAAGGGCCAGAGCUGGUGGGAGAGGAUUUGAAAAUGACAGAAGCCAAAUCUUCAGGCACUACCGCAGUGGGAUUCUGAUUCCCCACAGAAAUGGAGGCGAGUAGACAAAUCCAAACACCCAACCCCAUCCAACGCACACGGCAUCCCAAGUGAGAAAGUUCACGGCUGGGGCAGGAUGCAAUACUUGCGACGAGUCCCUUCAAAUUCAGGAUUUCUUGUACAUUCAACAAAUAUUUUUAGAGCACCAGUGUUGUGCCAGACACUCUGCUGGGCGCUGCACACGUGGGCAGUGGGCAAGAGUGGCCCCUGCCCUCAUGGAGCCUACAUUUAAGUCAAAGGAAACAGACGGUUCAGAGAAUCAGAUGGUUUAAUUGUGCUGUGGUUACAUAAGUGAAUGAUUUUGUACUUAGGAAAUAAUGCUUAAGUACAUAAGGGUAAAGGGGCAAGAUGUCUGCAACUUAUUCUCAAGAAGCUCAGAAAAAAAUAAUCAAUGUAUUAUCUAUACAUGUAUGAUUACAUUUAACACACACACGCACACGCACACACACAGAAAAUGAUACAGCAAAUGUGACAAAAUGUUAAUUGUUGAAUCUGGGCCAAAAAGUAUAUGGGAGGGAGUUCUUUGUAUCAUUCUUAUUUUUCUGAAAGCUUGAAAUUAUUUCAAAAUUAGAAAUUUAAAAAAAGAUCACAUUCUGAAAUUGCAACUUGUCCUUUCUCUUAGCAUUACAGAUUUUUCCAAAAGAACUUUUUUGUGUGGAAUAUUGAUGUGUGGAAGUGAAGGAGCUGGUCUGCUGAACCAGGAGUAGUUUGAGUUACUGAACUGUCAUUUUUGCACCUUUGAAUACUUUGCAGGCUGGCUUUGUAUAAACGUAUCCUCUGUUUUCCUAUAUGUUGUAAAUAUUUAGACCAUAAUUUCAUUAUAAAUAAGUGAAUAAACAAAAAAUUUUUUAAAGGCUCACAUAAAUACAUGACAAAUUAUAAA